CCGGCACGGUGAGUAACACGUAUCCAACCUGCCGUCUACUCUUGGACAGCCUUCUGAAAGGAAGAUUAAUACAAGAUGGCAUCAUGAGUCCGCAUGUUCACAUGAUUAAAGGUAUUCCGGUAGACGAUGGGGAUGCGUUCCAUUAGAUAGUAGGCGGGGUAACGGCCCACCUAGUCUUCGAUGGAUAGGGGUUCUGAGAGGAAGGUCCCCCACAUUGGAACUGAGACACGGUCCAA
rnacentral:rRNA from 1 species